GAAUGCCCCACGGCAACACGUCAGUGAGAGUGGCGACGGGAAUUCGGCCGAUUUUGACGUAGGGCACUCUGAAAAACUUUGUGAGACCCC
rfam:Tick-borne encephalitis virus isolate Primorye-1285, complete genome